rnacentral:rRNA from 1 species
GAUCAUGGCUCAGGAUGAACGCUGGCGGCGUGCUUAACACAUGCAAGUCGAACGAUGAAAGCGGGAGCUUGCUCCUGCUGGAUUAGUGGCGAACGGGUGAGUAACACGUGACGUAACCUGCCCUUGACUCUGGGAUAAGCGUUGGAAACGACGUCUAAUACCGGAUACGACCUUCGGAGGCAUCUCCGUGGGGUGGAAAGAAUUUCGGUCAAGGAUGGACUCGCGGCCUAUCAGCUAGUUGGUGAGGUAAUGGCUCACCAAGGCGACGACGGGUAGCCGGCCUGAGAGGGUGACCGGCCACACUGGGACUGAGACACGGCCCAGACUCCGACGGGAGGCAGCAGUGGGGAAUAUUGCACAAUGGGCGCAAGCCUGAUGCAGCAACGCCGCGUGAGGGACGACGGCCUUCGGGUUGUAAACCUCUUUUAGUAGGGAAGAAGCGAAAGUGACGGUACCUGCAGAAAAAGCACCGGCUAACUACGUG